AGCGGCGGACGGGUUAGUAACGCGUGGGAACAUACUCCUUUCUAUGGAAUAGCCUCGGGAAACUGAGAGUAAUACCAUAUACGCCCUUCGGGGGAAAGAUUUAUCGGUGAGGGAUUGGCCCGCGUAAGAUUAGAUAGUUGGUGGGGUAAUGGCCUACCAAGUCUACGAUCUUUAGCUGGUUUUAGAGGAUGAUCAGCAACACUGGGACUGAGACACGGCCCAGACUCCUACGGGAGGCAGCAGUGGGGAAUCUUAGACAAUGGGCGAAAGCCUGAUCUAGCCAUGCCGCGUGAGUGAUGAAGGUCUUAGGAUCGUAAAGCUCUUUCGCUAGGGAUGAUAAUGACAGUACCUAGUAAAGAAGCCCCGGCUAACUCCGUGCCAGCAGCCGCGGUAAUACGGAGGGGGCUAGCGUUGUUCGGAAUUACUGGGCGUAAAGCGUACGUAGGCGGAUCAGAAAGUAUGGGGUGAAAUCCCAGGGCUUAACCCUGGAACUGCCUCAUAAACUCCUGGUCUUGAGUUCGAGAGAGGUAAGUGGAAUUCCAAGUGUAGAGGUGAAAUUCGUAGAUAUUUGGAGGAACACCAGUGGCGAAGGCGGCUUACUGUUUCGAUACUGACGCUGAGGGACAAAAGUGUGGAGAGAAAACAGGAUUAUAUCCCCUGGUAGUCCCUGCCGUAAAAGGAUGAAUGCCAGUCG
rnacentral:rRNA from 1 species